rnacentral:miRNA from 1 species
UCUGUGAGGUCCUUGGGG